UGAUUUCUUGGGUAUGUGUUGGGAG
rnacentral:piRNA from 1 species